rnacentral:miRNA from 1 species
UAGAGGAAGCUGUGGAGAGA